rnacentral:rRNA from 1 species
AGUUCGGAUUGCAGUCUGCAACUCGAGUGCAUGAAGCUGGAAUCGCUAGUAAUCGCGGAUCAGAAUGCCGCGGUGAAUACGUUCCCGGGUCUUGUACACACCGCCCGUCAAGCCAUGGGAGCCGGGGGCGCCUGAAGUCCGGGACCGCGAGGACCGGCCUAGGGCGAAACUGGUAACUGGGGCUAAGUCGUAACAAGGUAAC